AUUGAACGUUGGCGGCAGGCCUAAAACAUGCAAGUCGAACGGAAACAGUGGAAGCUUGCUUCCAGCUGUCGAGUGGCGGACGGGUGAGUAAUACGCAGGAAUCUACCCAGUAGUGGGGGACAACCCGGGGAAACCCGGGCUAAUACCGCAUACGCUCUACGGAGGAAAGCGGGGGAUCUUCGGACCUCGCGCUAUCGGAGGAGCCUGCGUCGGAUUAGCUAGUUGGUGGGGUAAAGGCCUACCAAGGCGACGAUCCGUAGCUGGUCUGAGAGGACGAUCAGCCACACUGGAACUGAGACACGGUCCAGACUCCUACGGGAGGCAGCAGUUAGGAAUCUUGGGCAAUGGGC
rnacentral:rRNA from 1 species